rnacentral:rRNA from 2 species
GGGUUGUGAGGUUAAGCGACUAAGCGUACACGGUGGAUGCCCUGGCAGUCAGAGGCGAUGAAGGACGUGCUAAUCUGCGAUAAGCGUCGGUAAGGUGAUAUGAACCGUUAUAACCGGCGAUUUCCGAAUGGGGAAACCCAGUGUGAUUCGUCACACUAUCAUUAACUGAAUCCAUAGGUUAAUGAGGCGAACCGGGGGAACUGAAACAUCUAAGUACCCCGAGGAAAAGAAAUCAACCGAGAUUCCCCCAGUAGCGGCGAGCGAACGGGGAGGAGCCCAGAGCCUGAAUCAGUGUGUGUGUUAGUGGAAGCGUCUGGAAAGGCGCGCGAUACAGGGUGACAGCCCCGUACACAAAAAUGCACAU